rnacentral:misc_RNA from 1 species
AGAAAGGUGCAUUACAGGGGUGCAUCACGAGCAUUUCCUGCUUGUCGGUGUCUGUGAAACACACGCACACACACACGUGCAUGUGUGUCUGUGCGGACUGCCGUUGUUUUGCGCAAGUUUGAACUCCGCUUGGGAUACACGCAUUUACAUGGAACCCACCACAGCACUCCGCAACGCAAAGAUCAAUGGAGGUGGACCUCAGCCCGUUCUUCGCAGGUGCGAUGUGCGCACUGGUGGACUCGAACGGUGCUGAGCUUGCCAUCAGUCGUGCCUUUGCAAGUGCCGCUAACGCGUGCUACGAGGCGCACCAGCCUCAGCACUCGUGGAACCAACAGCAGCCGCAGCGCUCGCGCACGUCGGUUACAGUGCAGCUGUGCAUCAGCUCACCGCUGCUGUCGUGGACACGGCAGGCGAAGGACGUGGUGCUGCGCUGCGUCGAUCGCGCCGUGACGCGCAUCUUUCCCCCGCUGGACGUUCUGCAGUACAUCGGCGCCGACUCCCCCGUCUUUCUCGCCGCAGAUGCCAGUGCCAGCCACGAGAAGGCGGGAUCGCAUCUGUGCGUGACUUUUGCGGUUCAGCCAUCUGCCGCUCUGUGGCCCUCCUGGGUGAUCAAACAGCAUGCGGUGGAGGGGGAGGUUGUGACAGGUGUGCAGCUUGGCGAUUCAGAGACCGGAGCCGCGGCGGCUUUGCAGUGGAUGCGCGAUACGCUAUCGGACAUGGACUUGUGGAACCGAGCUCGAGCAGCGCAUCAGCUCUACGACACCAGCAUCGCUCUCGAUGGUGUCCAGCAGCGCUCUGGCGGCAUAUCGGCCUCAGAUACGACAUCGAUAGCCACGGCGGUAGCGCUUCCGUCCCGGCAGCAGGCGUGUGAGGAAAAACACACUAAGCUGCAGUGGCAGCUUGCUCGAUGGCUGACAGAACUCUUCAUGAACGAGGGCAGCUGGGCUCGGCUGCCAGCGUCGCCAUCGACUGGUGCCCCCCGAUCCGCUCAGAAACGCCCCGUUAACGCAGCGACGCGGCGUCUGUUUCAGAGUCCUUUGCGGCCAUCGUUUUCGCAUGUCGUGGAGGCAGCUCUCUCGGCACCGCAUACAACCACACAAAACACUGCGCCCGGAUCCGUCGUGCCACGUCGCCUCCUCCACGCAGAUGUGCGCGGCGUGGAGUGCAACGGUUUGUUGGUCGGGCACACCUCUCGGUACGCCUACAUUGCGGUGCCCUACUUCACGGCCCCAGGCGAGGCUGCAACGACAGGGGCGUCUUCGCCAUCGUGCGUGUGGAGCUUCAUAAGCCGUAUCCCAAUACCUGCAAUCCUUAGCGAAUCGGCUGGUAGAGACGCGGAGGGCCGCCAUGGUGAGAAGGGCCGUUUGCCUCGCAAGCGGCCGCGUGCCUCUGCGUCUCAUCACCCGGACAUCGUGGCAUCAGAGGAGGAGGAGAGCUCCUGUGCCGCCGCGGCACGCAGCGUGCUGGCCCACUGCUUGAAUGUGGAAGAGGCGAUGCGUCACGACACCAACGCAGAGGCGGUAUUUCGCCUCGCGGAUGCUCCGUUUGUGGUGACAGUUCGGGCCCACCGUGUCUACUGCGCGCGGGCUGAUCCAUCGAGGCAUCCGCGCACGCACCCCGCAGCGCCGUCUUCGGACCACUUCUCCACCAAACCCCAGCCGGCUGCAUCACCAUACACACUGUCGCUAGUGCUGGAGGAUGCCUACGUGAUGCAGGUUCGGUCAGCGCUCAGCAACACUGGUGCUGCGCCAACCUCGUCUGCGCCCACCACCGCUCACUGGGCCACUGCUUUGUUGUGUGGGUACGACCCUCAGCAGAGUCCAGAGAACGACGGCGAAGCGGGGCAUAGUGCUACUCAGCAAGGCGUCAACGCCACCAUUGCGCGCGCGCCGCACACCUUCCCCGACGUGGUAAGCGUGGUGCGCGAGAGCUGCCACCGGUUUCAGCGCUCGCACGAGCGGUUUCGCGCUUUGUACGCUCGCUGCGUCCAGGCUUGCGACCCGAGCUCCUCCCCAGCCGCCAGCUCCACGCCAAAAGCGGUGGAAGUCGUAGCGGGCGGAGCCUCCUCCGCGACGGCACAGCAGGUGCCUACCACAGCGGCUGCGCUGGUACCCGAGGCGGCAGUCAAAACGCAGACACUCUCGCCCGCUGUCGCCUCACAGAACCUGCGCUUACUGCGCCAGGCAGAAGCGGUGUACGGCGCGUUGUCAGAUUCAGUCUCUGUGCACUUUGGAAAGCUGCGUGGCGCUGCGCGUGUGCCCGUUCCCGACGUACGCACCGCUGCCGACGUGGCUCAACUGGAGGAGUGCCAUAACGUCGAGUUCAAGGCGAGGGUGGGGCGCGUGACGAACGGCUCCUCAGCUGGUGCAGACUCCCACCAGCAGCGCCAUCCCGUGUUAAUGGAUGCGGAGCGGCUUCGCAACACAAUGGCCGCCAUGGCAGCAUGCCGUGGUGGUGUCAUACUUCUCGGCGUCGCGGACGACGGUCGCAUUCUCGGCCAUGCAAAGCAGCUAGGUGUUGCGCGUCAGUUGCGAACGUCGGGAUUCUGCCCGGCAAUGGUAAAGGACACGGUGCACGUGAAGGAGCUGCGCUGGCUGAGUGCGAGCGGAGGUCUUGCCGGCGCCAGUAAGGCCGUUGCGGGUGAGAGCGGUGGCAAUGGCGCAUCGGUCCCAGUAAAGCCUGCCAUGCCCGAGAACUGGUGGAAGAGUGGUGCCACGCCGCCAGCUCCAGGCUUGCCGAAGGCAUCAGCGACGGCGAAGGCAGGAGCCUCAGCCGGUGAUCAAGUGAUCACCGUCGUCAGCGUCCAGAAGGGCCAGGCGCCGUUCUACGCAACGUCUAAAAACGCGCCUCCGUAUCAGCGUGGUUGUGCGAGCACAACAAUGAUGCCGACCAUGGUGGUGGCACGCCGCAUCAUGAAGGAGCUCGCCUAAACGAAAGAAUGAUGCUGCUGGGAGCUCAUUGCAUUGACCCUCGCAGAGGCGACAAGAAAGGAGGAAAGGAGACAUGGACAAGCUGUGCGAGGGAGACACGUCGCACCGGACCUGGUGUGGAAGCAGCAGUGCCAAUGCCGCUCCUGGGCGGUAUCGCGCCGAUUCGUGCCGAGUUCUUGUCCCUAUCUCCCUGCUCUGAGCUGCCGUGCCGCUGGCGCGCACCUGCAGAAACACAUGCGCAUACAAACCUUCUCACCUUUUUUUUUUCGGCGCAGGCGACUCGCUAAAUUUAUGCGCCUGCCCACGGUGCCGUCGAAGUCCGCUUAAGGAGUCAAGCACUCAAACGUGCACCUUUACAGUUCUACACAACCCUGCACUCUGCAGAAGAAGUGCUGCCUGCUUCUCUCAGGCGAGCGCGCACUGCGUCAGACUUGCCUCCCAGGUGUGUGCACCAUUGCGCGUAUGCGUGCCCGUACGGCCCACGAGUGUCCCAACGUGUGUUCUGUGCCUCUUACGCUGCCCAUGCCCCUCCGAGGCCUCUUCGUACCUUUCCCUUGAGUAUGCGCGUAUGUGUGUUUUGGUGCUCCCCUCUUCUACCUGCCUACACCCGCCCUCCACGUUUGUGCCUCUCUGCGCGGCUCCGCCUGCGUCUCUCCAUUGCUCGUGCACGGUGUGCCUGUAUAUUUCUGCUCGUUGUGUGUGUGCUGAUUGGCCGUUUUGUGGUGGUGCGGCACGACGUUGCCAAACCAUACGCACACGUGCAUGUGUACACCUUCACAUACGCGCAUGCAUUCCUCUUCCCCCCUCCCUCUCCACGGCGGUGCACUACGACAACGACUGCCUCAG